rnacentral:misc_RNA from 1 species
ACGAGUUUGAAAGGGGUUGUAGCUGGCCUUCCGAGGCAUGUGCACGCCCUGCUCAUCCACUCUACACCUGUGCACUUUUUGUGGGUCGGAGGAACCUUUAAAAAAGCUCCUCCGCCUACGUCUCACACAUACACCUUAAAGUAAUCAGAAUGUUGCAUCGCAUUGUAAAAUGCAUCUAUAAUA